rnacentral:rRNA from 1 species
AACGAACGCUGGCGGCAUGCCUAACACAUGCAAGUCGAACGAGAUCCUUCGGGGUCUAGUGGCGCACGGGUGCGUAACGCGUGGGAAUCUGCCCUUAGGUUCGGAAUAACAGUUAGAAAUGACUGCUAAUACCGGAUGAUGACGUUAAGUCCAAAGAUUUAUCGCCUGAGGAUGAGCCCGCGUAGGAUUAGCUAGUUGGUGUGGUAAAGGCGCACCAAGGCGACGAUCCUUAGCUGGUCUGAGAGGAUGAUCAGCCACACUGGGACUGAGACACGGCCCAGCCUCCUAGGGGGGGGGGGAGGGGGAAAUAUUGAACAAGGGGCGAAAGCCGGAUCCAGCAAGGCCGGGGGAGGGAAGAGGCCUUGGGGGUUGUAAAGCUCUUUUCCCCGGGAGGAAAAGAACAGUCCGGGGAAAAAAGGCCCCGGCAACCUCCGUC